AUUGAACGCUGGCGGCAUGCUUUACACAUGCAAGUCGAACGGCAGCGCGGGCUUCGGCCUGGCGGCGAGUGGCGAACGGGUGAGUAAUGCAUCGGAACGUGCCCAGUAGUUGGGGAUAGCCCGGCGACAGCCGGAUUAAUACCGCAUACGACCUGAGGGUGAAAGCGGGGGACCGAAAGGCCUCGCGCGAUUUGCGCGGCCGAUGUCGGAUUAGCUAGUUGGUGGGGUAAAGGCUUACCAAGGCGACGAUCCGUAGCUGGUCUGAGAGGACGACCAGCCACACUGGGACUGAGACACGGCCCAGACUCCUACGGGAGGCAGCAGUGGGGAAUUUUGGACAAUGGGGGCAACCCUGAUCCAGCCAUGCCGCGUGCGGGAAGAAGGCCUUCGGGUUGUAAACCGCUUUUGUUCGGGAAGAAAACCUGUGGGCUAAUACCCCGGGGGGAUGACGGUACCGGAAGAAUAAGCACCGGCUAACUACGUG
rnacentral:rRNA from 1 species